ACAGAGGGUGCGAGCGUUAAUCGGAAUUACUGGGCGUAAAGCGCGCGUAGGUGGCUUUGUAAGUCGGAUGUGAAAUCCCCGGGCUCAACCUGGGAACUGCAUUCGAAACUGCAUUGCUAGAGUAUGGAAGAGGGAAGUGGAAUUUCCGGUGUAGCGGUGAAAUGCGUAGAUAUCGGAAGGAACACCAGUGGCGAAAGCGACCUCCUGGUCCAAUACUGACACUCAAGUGCGAAAGCGUGGGGAGCAAACAGGAUUAGAUACCCUGGUAGUCCACGCCAUAAACGAUGAGAACUAGAUGUUGGGGGGGUUAGCCUCCCGGUGUCGCAGCUAACGCGUUAAGUUCUCCGCCUGGGGAGUACGGCCGCAAGGUUG
rnacentral:rRNA from 1 species